GACGAACGCUGGCGGCGUGCUUAACACAUGCAAGUCGAGCGGUAAGGCCCUUUCGGGGGUACGACGAGCGGCGAACGGGUGAGUAACACGUGGGUGACCUGCCCUCAGCUCUGGGAUAAGCCUGGGAAACCGGGUCUAAUACCGGAUAUGACUCCAUGACGCAUGUUGUGGGGUGGAAAGCCUUGUGCGGCUGAGGAUGGGCCCGCGG
rnacentral:rRNA from 1 species